ACAUCCCUUCUUUUGAAAUGGGUCAGUUUCAUGCGUACAUAGUGUAUUGACCCGACUUAUAUAAAUACCUUGACAGAAAUACAAUCCAUAUAAAAGGAUAAGAACUUGGCAAUCAUUUUCAGACAUUUUCAGACAGUUUGCAUAUACAUACUCGAAGAGAAGCCUGAUAAGCAAUAUUUUGCUUAAACUCAAAAAUGAAAAUGAUUUAUCUAACAUUAUCCAUCUGCUUUAUAAGCUUAUGUUUUCUUGGAUUGGUUCGGCCUCAAAUAUCCCUCGGAACACCAGUCAAAAUCACAAAUUAUGGUUCAGGAAAUGCCCUCUCAAGCCAGUCAUACCCCGCAGUCUGGGCCUUUAAGGCUAAGGGGUCUGCAAAUUUCGCGUGGGUUUAUAAUUCUGACGGGACAAUAACAAAUUACGACAGCUCAACGACCGGUGGGACGCGUGGCUGCUUAACGGAUCCCUAUGGCGGCCAAUACAUUUACCUGGAACCGUGCAACGCCACAAAUAGUUUCCGGUCAUGGGAACUCGUCAAAUCGAAGAGGAAUGGAAUAUAUCAACUAAAAAAUUUCGGGUCACACACCUGUCUGAGUAAUGACGUAAAGUGGAUCGUGAAAAAGCAGGACUGCCGCAACGCCGACGAUGGUCCGCACAUUUAUCAACAAUGGAGUGUGAGUAUACUCUCACCAUCCUAAUGGAUAACUUGGGACUUGCUUAUGUGUCACUAUUUAGUUGUGCAUCCAUUAAGUAAAUAUGUUGGUCAUAUGAAUCAAUUAAUAAAUACAUACUUGGGAAGGACAAUAUACCAAUUUAUUUUAAACUAGUUCUCUAUUAAAUUAGUGGCGGAAAAUUCGAAUCAGUAUGACAGAUAAUGAAUAGGCAAGCCAUUUUCUAUUUCGUAGUAUUAGAGGGGUCGUCUCAAUAAAUCCAAACUGGCUCUAUCCGGAUUUAAUGUCAACCAAACCCAGUUGGACAAGUAAACAGAAUACAAAAGAUCAUUAUUUCGCCCACCAUGAAACACAAAUAAUGUGCUGUUAUUUAAGCUGAAAAAUUUUGCUUGACAAUAAAAUAUGCAGGAAAGAGUA